rnacentral:rRNA from 1 species
GAUGAACGCUGGCGGCGUGCCUAAUACAUGCAAGUCGAGCGAACAGACGAGGAGCUUGCUCCUCUGACGUUAGCGGCGGACGGGUGAGUAACACGUGGAUAACCUACCUAUAAGACUGGGAUAAUUUCGGGAAACCGGAGCUAAUACCGGAUAAUAUAUUGAACCGCAUGGUUCAAUAGUGAAAGACGGUUUUGCUGUCACUUAUAGAUGGAUCCGCGCCGCAUUAGCUAGUUGGUAAGGUAACGGCUUACCAAGGCGACGAUGCGUAGCCGACCUGAGAGGGUGAUCGGCCACACUGGAACUGAGACACGGUCCAGACUCCUACGGGAGGCAGCAGUAGGGAAUCUUCCGCAAUGGGCGAAAGCUUGACGGAGCAACGCCGCGUGAGUGAUGAAGGUCUUCGGAUCGUAAAACUCUGUUAUUAGGGAAGAACAAAUGUGUAAGUAACUAUGCACGUCUUGACGGUACCUAAUCAGAAAGCCACGGCUAACUACGUG